AAGUAUUGCACAAUGGGGGAAACCCUGAUGCAGCCAUGCCGCGUAGUGUGAAGAAGGACCUUCGGGUUGUUAAAGCACGUUUCAGUAGGGAGGAAGGUAGUGUAGUUAACACCUGCACUAUUUGACGUUACCUACAGAAGAAGCACCGGCUAACUCCGUGCCAGCAGCCGCGGUAAUACGGAGGGUGCGAGCGUUAAUCGGAAUUACUGGGCGUAAAGCGCAUGCAGGCGGCCUGUUAAGUCAGAUGUGAAAGCCCGGGGCUUAACCUCGGAAUUGCAUUUGAAACUGGCAGGCUAGAGUCUUGUAGAGGGGGGUAGGAAUUUCAGGUGUAGCGGUGAAAUGCGUAGAGAUCUGAAGGAAUACCAGUGGCGAAGGCCGGCCCCCUGGACAAAGACUGACGCUCAGAUGCGAAAGCGUGGGGAGCAAACAGGAUUAGAUACCCUGGUAG
rnacentral:rRNA from 1 species